CAGGGGGAUAAGCGGAAGAAAUUCCGUCUAAUACCGCGUAACAACCCAUGGAGGCAUCUCUGUGGGUUUAAAGGAAGCGAUUCCGGCUACGGAUGGUCAUGCGUCGCAUUAGCUUGUUGGCGGGGUAACGGCCCACCAAGGCGACGAUGCGUAGGGGUUCUGAGAGGAAGGUCCCCCACACUGGUACUGAGACACGGACCAGACUCCUACGGGAGGCAGCAGUGAGGAAUAUUGGUCAAUGGCCGCAGGGCUGAACCAGCCAAGUCGCGUGAGGGAUGACGGUCCUAUGGAUUGUAAACCUCUUUUGUCAGGGAGCAAAGGGCGCCACGUGUGGCGCUUUGCGAGUACCUGAAGAAAAAGCAUCGGCUAACUCCGUGCCAGCAGCCGCGGUAAUACGGAGGAUGCGAGCGUUAUCCGGAUUUAUUGGGUUUAAAGGGUGCGCAGGCGGAAUGUCAAGUCAGCGGUAAAAUUUCGGGGCUCAACCCCGUCGUGCCGUUGAAACUGGCGUUCUUGAGUGAGCGAGAAGUAUGCGGAAUGCGUGGUGUAGCGGUGAAAUGCAUAGAUAUCACGCAGAACUCCGAUUGCGAAGGCAGCAUACCGGCGCUCAACUGACGCUCAUGCACGAAAGCGUGGGUAUCGAACAGGAUUAGAUACCCUGGUAGUCCACGCAGUAAACGAUGAAUACUAACUGUCCGGGCAGAAUGAUGCCUGGGUGGUACAG
rnacentral:rRNA from 1 species